GACGAACGCUGGCGGCGUGCUUAACACAUGCAAGUCGAGCGGUAAGGCCCUUUCGGGGGUACACGAGCGGCGAACGGGUGAGUAACACGUGGGUGACCUGCCCUCAGCUCUGGGAUAAGCCUGGGAAACCGGGUCUAAUACUGGAUAUGACUCCAUGACGCAUGUUGUGGGGUGGAAAGCCUUGUGCGGCUGAGGAUGGGCCCGCGGCCUAUCAGCUUGUGGUGGGGUGAUGGCCUACCAAGCGACGACGGGUAGCCGGCCUGAGAGGGCGACCGGCCACACUGGGACUGAGACACGGCCCAGACUCCUACGGGAGGCAGCAGUGGGGAAUCUUGCGCAAUGGGCGAAAGCCUGAACGCAGCGACGCCGCGUGAGGGAUG
rnacentral:rRNA from 1 species